rnacentral:rRNA from 1 species
CCUACGGGCGGCUGCAGUGGGGAAUAUUGGACAAUGGGCGAAAGCCUGAUCCAGCCAUGCCGCGUGUGUGAAGAAGGCCUUCGGGUUGUAAAGCACUUUCAGUGGGGAAGAAAGCCUUGGGGCUAAUACCCUCGAGGAAGGACAUCACCCACAGAAGAAGCACCGGCUGAACUCCGUGCCAGCAGCCGCGGUAAUACGGAGGGUGCGAGCGUUAAUCGGAAUUACUGGGCGUAAAGCGCGCGUAGGCGGUCUGAUAAGCCGGUUGUGAAAGCCCCGGGCUCAACCUGGGAACGGCAUCCGGAACUGUCAGGCUAGAGUGCAGGAGAGGAAGGUAGAAUUCCCGGUGUAGCGGUGAAAUGCGUAGAGAUCGGGAGGAAUACCAGUGGCGAAGGCGGCCUUCUGGACUGACACUGACGCUGAGGUGCGAAAGCGUGGGUAGCAAACAGGAUUAGAUACCCUGGUAGUC